AACGUUGAGCUUGACAGGUGUUCCGCAUCUGUCGUUCAGCCGGAAGUAGCCCCUCCGCAAGGCGAAGCAACGCUCC
rfam:Marine metagenome ctg_1101667315177, whole genome shotgun sequence.